UACGGGGGGGGCAAGCGUUGUUCGGAAUUACUGGGCGUAAAGGGCUCGUAGGCGGCCAAUUAAGUCAGACGUGAAAUCCCUCGGCUUAACCGGGGAACUGCGUCUGAUACUGGAUGGCUUGAAUCCGGGAGAGGGAUGCGGAAUUCCAGGUGUAGCGGUGAAAUGCGUAGAUAUCUGGAGGAACACCGGUGGCGAAGGCGGCAUCCUGGACCGAGAUUGACGCUGAACAGCGAAAGCUAGGGGAGCAAACGGG
rnacentral:rRNA from 1 species